AACAGGCUUAUCUCCCCCAAGAGUCCACAUCGACGGGGAGGUUUGGCACCUCGAUGUCGGCUCAUCACAUCCUGGGGCUGUAGUAGGUCCCAAGGGUUGGGCUGUUCGCCCAUUAAAGUGGUACGCGAGCUGGGUUCAGAACGUCGUGAGACAGUUCGGUCCCUAUCCGUCGCAGGCGUAGGAAAUUUGAGAAGACCUGUCCUUAGUACGAGAGGACCGGGAUGGACGUACCUCUGGUGUACCAGUUGUUCUGCCAAGGGCAUGGCUGGGUAGCUAUGUACGGAAUGGAUAAGCGCUGAAAGCAUCUAAGCGCGAAGCCAACUUCAAGAUAAGAUUUCCCGCCGCAAGGGUAAGACCCCAGAAAGACUAUCUGGUUGAUAGGUCGAAGGUGUAAGUGCAGCAAUGUAUUUAGCUUAUCGAUACUAAUAGGUCGAGGACUUGACCAAU
rnacentral:rRNA from 1 species